ensembl:lncRNA
UCAAGUUAUGUAACAGAAGAUAAGAAUUAGCAGUCUGGGAUGGAUUCCAUUUGCUUUAAAGUUGACAGCUCUUUUACUUUCUUUUCAGUGUCUUUCCGAGGGGAAGAUGCUGUUUUUCCUGUAAACACUGUUCAUUAAGCUGAUGCCUGUCUCAUUCUGCACCUACUGGACACUCUACAGUUCCAGAAUGUACUGUUCACAGAUGUCUCUGAGCUCAUCAAGUGUUUCUGUGCUUUAUUUGGUAUUUUGGAGUCUCAGUCAUCCCUCAUGCUAUAGCAACAGCAACAUCUAGCAAGCUUCUAACCUGCUGGAGGUUAAUUUAGUGUGUCUUUGUGGUAUCUUCUGAGGCUUUUUUGUUUGUUGUGAUCCUUUAGUCCUUUGCCUGGGACUUGCAACAUUGGUUCUCAGGUCAAACACUUCUCUAUAGUUUCACUUUCCUUUGUGACUACAGCUUAGAUCAACAUUCUUGUACAGUUCAUUUUACGUAAGGAUAUAAGAGCAGAUGAAGUAGGUCAUAGCAAAGAUCUAUAUAGCUCGAUAUCUCUCAGGAGUGACAAGCAAUGGACAUUACUGGAAACUGGCUGCCUGGGACUCCCCACUUGUGGCUGAAGUUGGAUUUUCCCUUGAAGGGGGAAGUUUUCCGGAGCAGAAGGAACUCACAGAGAAAUGAAUAUAAGUCUCCAGAUAAACUGAGCAUUGAGCAGAUUCCCCAAGGGACUAACAGAGGGACAAUGAAUUUCUUCCCUUGAACUACCUCUUCUAUGAACACUGUGUUCACACAACAGAAAAAAAAGAAAGAAAAAGAAAAGAAAAAAAGAAAAACAAAGCAAACACUGAAAAGUAUGAACAAGAGCAUCAGAGGCAGAUACGAAAGCAGGGAUAAUGAGUAUCAGCUAUGCACACUUCUUUUGGCUGAUGCACCAGCUGAUCUCAGUAAGACUAAGGAGAAUCAAAGGACAAUGUUCUGCUCUACCACUCCUAAGAAAUAGAGAGAACAGCUGAAACUCUCAGGAAAGCUGGAAGAGAGAAGUUGGGCCAGGCAAGGAUUUUCAGAUCUAGUCCAGAAUGUUUCUGGUGGAGGUAACCCAGAACAGGACAGGAUAUGCAAAUCCAACUGGACAUGGAAAGAGUCAGUCUGUGCCUGCAGAUACAGCUUUCCUGGUAAUUACACUCCUGGACAAGCACUGCCCUACAAUUUUGUCUGGUUAUAACGCAUGAACACAGUAUUCCUUUCUAAAAAGGCAAUAGCAGUUUGACCUCAAUAGAACCAUGAAAAUUGAUGUGCAUAAGGUACUAGACAUCCUUCUAACACACUUAAUGUAACCCCAUUGAAAUAUCAAGGAGAGUGGUGCGAUAAUAUCUUCCUUCAGUGCUGUUUUUCCUCUAACAUCUACUGCAUUGCGAACUUCCCCUUCUGUUCUGCUCUAUACUAUAUUUUGUCUUCAUAAUCCACAAACUUUCUAUUCUCCAUAUUCUUCUUCUUUCAUUUUGGUUUAGUGAUUCACCCUGCAUCUUCUUCAGGGUCAAGAAUUUCACAUGAUAUGAUGAGUGUGAAAUGUGGGGGCAUUUACAGGAACCUGGAAGCAUUUCUAUAAGCAUUCCUAUCAAGAAAGGAGCUUCAUAAGUCAGAAUUUGGGGUUUUUUUUCAGAUAAAGUAGUUUCAUGGAUUGUCUUCAGUGGUUUCCCUUUGUAUAAAAAAAGAAACUAAAAAAUAUUCGUUAUUGUUUCAUGAUGGCAUGAUCUGAACAGUUUCAGAC